UGCACGGCUGUCGUCAGCUCGUGUCGUGAGAUGUGGGUUAAGUACCGCAACGAGCGCAACCCUCGUGUUUAGUUGCUAACAGUUCGGCUGAGAACUCUAAACAGACUGCCUACGCAAGUAGGAGGAAGGUGAGGACGACGUCAAGUCAUCAUGGCCCUUACGGCCAGGGCUACACACGUGCUACAAUGGGGUAUACAAAGAGCAGCGAUACAGUGACGUGGAGCAAAUCUAGAAAAUGCCUCUCAGUUCGGAUUGUAGUCUGCAACUCGACUACAUGAAGUUGGAAUCGCUAGUAAUCGUAGAUCAGCAAUGCUACGGUGAAUACGUUCCCGGGUCUU
rnacentral:rRNA from 1 species